GGGCUCGUCGUCUAGUCUGGUUAGGACGCCAUCCUCACACGGUGGAGGUCCCCGGUUCAAAUCCGGGCGAGCCCA
rnacentral:tRNA from 3 species